AACGAACGCUGGCGGCAGGCUUAACACAUGCAAGUCGAGCGCAUCCUUCGGGGUGAGCGGCGGACGGGUGAGUAACGCGUGGGAACGUGCCCUCUUCUACGGAAUAGCCUCGGGAAACUGAGAGUAAUGCCGUAUACGCCCGCAAGGGGAAAGAUUUAUCGGAGGAGGAUCGGCCCGCGUUGGAUUAGGUAGUUGGUGGGGUAACGGCCUACCAAGCCGACGAUCCAUAGCUGGUUUGAGAGGAUGGUCAGCCACACUGGGACUGAGACACGGCCCAGACUCCUACGGGAGGCAGCAGUGGGGAAUCUUGGACAAUGGGGGCAACGCUGAUCCAGCCAUGCCGCGUGAUCGAUGAAGGCCUUAGGGUUGUAAAGAUCUUUCAGCUGGGAAGAUAAUGACGGUACCAGCAGAAGAAGCCCCGGCUAACUCCGUG
rnacentral:rRNA from 1 species